ensembl:snRNA U2 U2 spliceosomal RNA
AUUGCUUCUUGGCCUUUUGGCUAAGAUCAAGUGUAUUAUCAUUAUCACUAUUAUUAUUAUUAUUGACAUAAAUAUUAUUUUGUUGCUCUUAUGUUGAGCGAGAUCACUUAGCCGUCCAUUAGACCCUUU